UGCUGGCGUAGGAUAAGAGAGUGCUUUCAGGAGAUUUUAGGUUGCUAUGCAUACUUCUGCACCACAUAUACGAUCCUCCCAGAAAAUAAAAUAAAAAUCACUAAGCUUCCUCAUAAAUAUACAACAUUAUUAUGCCUUGGAUUCAAGCGUUGCUUAGCCUUUGUGAAAUUAAUACAAUACCACCACUUAUCAUUUAAAGCUUUUGAUACCCUCAUCAUAUAUUACAAAAAUGACAGCGAAAGAACCACAAAGCAUAAGACAAAACUUCCCUCUUCACUUUAGAGAGAGCAAUAAUGGCUUGCUUACACAGAAAUGUUGGCGAUAUUGUAUUUUUCUUCUCCACUUUGCUCCAAGAAGUUCGAGUGCUGGCUAGUAGAAUAAUCCAGAUGAAAAAUCACAGGGUGUCUCCGGUUAAUGCAUCAGAAGCCGGAAGUUGUCAUCAUCAGUUACAAUAUCGUAUGCAUAUCCAACAUUGUUGGCACGGUUAUGGAACUCAUCCAUCUCAUUUUCAGGA
rnacentral:misc_RNA from 1 species